rnacentral:rRNA from 1 species
UACGUAGGGGGCAAGCGUUGUCCGGAUUUACUGGGCGUAAAGAGCGUGUAGGCGGCCAAGCAGGUCCGUUGUGAAAACUGGAGGCUUAACCUCCAGACGUCGACGGAAACCGCGUGGCUAGAGUCCGGAAGAGGAGAGUGGAAUUCCUGGUGUAGCGGUGAAAUGCGCAGAUAUCAGGAAGAACACCAAUGGCGAAAGCAGCUUUCUGGG